CCUGUGAUAGCAGUGACUCUGGGCU
rnacentral:piRNA from 1 species